rnacentral:rRNA from 1 species
GACGAACGCUGGCGGCGUGCUUAACACAUGCAAGUCGAACGGUGAUGGAGAGCUUGCUCUCCGGAUCAGUGGCGAACGGGUGAGUAACACGUGAGUAAUCUGCCCCCCACUCUGGGAGUAACCUACGGGAAACCGGAAGACUAAUACCGGAUAUGACGCGCGAAGGCAUCUUCUGCGCGUGGAAAGAAUUUCGGUGGGGGAG